rnacentral:rRNA from 1 species
GACGAACCGUGCGAACGUUAUUCGGAAUCAUUGGGCUUAAAGCGCGUGUAGGCGGAUGGGAACGUCGGCUUUGAAAGCCCCCGGCUCAACCGGGGAAUUGGCGCCGAAACGACCCGUCUGGAGGGGCAUAGGGGGAGCUGGAACUUCCGGUGGAGCGGUGAAAUGCGUUGAGAUCGGAAGGAACGCCCGUGGCGAAAGCGAGCUCCUGGAUGUCUUCUGACGCUGAGACGCGAAAGCUAGGGUAGCGAACGGGAUUAGAAACCCGUGUAGU